UGGGGAAUCUUCCGCAAUGGACGAAAGUCUGACGGAGCAACGCCGCGUGAGUGAUGAAGGUCUUCGGAUUGUAAAGCUCUGUUAAUCGGGACGAAAGAGCCUAGUGUGAAUAAUGCUAGGAAGUGACGGUACCGGAAUAGAAAGCCACGGCCAACUACGUGCCAGCAGCCGCGGUAAUACGUAGGUGGCAAGCGUUGUCCGGAAUUAUUGGGCGUAAAGCGCGCGCAGGCGGAUCUGCCAGUCUGUCUUAAAAGUUCGGGGCUUAGCCCCGUGAUGGGAUGGAAACUACAGAUCUAGAGUAUCGGAGAGGAAAGUGGAAUUCCUAGUGUAGCGGUGAAAUGCGUAGAUAUUAGGAAGAACACCGGUGGCGAAGGCGACUUUCUGGACGAAAACUGACGCUGAGGCGCGAAAGCCAGGGGAGCGAACG
rnacentral:rRNA from 1 species